CCCAUAGUUGGCAACCCUUAGGGUCACUCAGUCAAUCCCCUUUGUUAUAUUCUUAGCUAGCUAAUCUUCAGCUUAAGCUCACCCACUUCAAUUAAUUCUUUAAUAAAUCAUCAAAAAUCAAACAAAACGCAAACUGUGAUAGAUGAAAGUAGGGGAGAAAGUAAAUGCAAUUAAUUUAAUUUUGAUGAUGAUUUCGCACGCAUAACGUGCAUAUAAAGCUAGUCCCUUUAAAGCAAUUAGGAGGGUAUUACAGGAAGAAUAUUCAUAUAUUGUUGUUUGCUGCAUAUUUGGCGUACAUAGACAUAGAACGAAUACUGAGGGAGCUGGAAGAAUUCCAAAGACAAAGAUUCAACAGUGCAGCUCAACUCAAUAGUUCAAGAUCCGAGCAGGCUAUGGCUGAUCUGUGUUUGGGCCUCUACUUCCUUCUAAUUCUGGGCCGUGAUGUUAGUCAAUAUGUUGCAGCAGUUGGAAGUUCAGUUCGAUAGUUAAGUGUAGGUGAAGAAGUUUUUGGGGCAUUGCAUCCGACCGCUAUCAGGGGUACAUCAACUGACUAUGACAUCCUUUCAGCCGAAGAAGUUUCGAAAAAACAGCAGCCAUGAGUCAUGUGCUAAGUCCCAAGGAGCUGAUAAGCUUCAACUUUACAUCAGAAGCUAGGCCUUUUUUCACAAAAUAUGAUGUCUUCUUCCAUUUUCUGCUUCUCUUAAUUGGUAUAGUAUCUUUAGUCUUUACACGAUUCUUAUCACCUCUGCUGCUAUGUUCCUGAUAUUUCAUAGAGAGGUCAAUUAGUUAUGUGGGUCAAGCAUCCAUGCAGAACUUCUUUUCUAGAUGGCAUAUGCUUUUAUUGUGUUUUGUGUUGAUUUGACUGGAUACUGUUGUGAAAGUUAUUGUAUUGUACAGAACGCUUAUUGUGUGAUUCCCUUCGCUGCACUCAAGGAUUGCUUCAGGCCGGGUAUCAUCUAAGACAUUUUUUCUUGUAUGUAUAUUGUAAUUAAAAUUAAUCUGAACUGUGCAGCCUCUUACUGUUUGUGUUCAAUAUGGUGUUAAUUCUGAUUUUUUUAUCAGCUAUAUAGAAUUGUAUUUGAUCUAUAUCUUGCAUGGAUGGAUGGCAGCCAAUGCGCAAACUUCAGCUUAGGCGACAAGAUGGUCAGCUGUGUUAUUAUGUAUAAGCUAAUAUGGGAGUUCUUGUCAUCUUAAUCGAGAAAGUAUUUGUGAUUGUGAUCUGUGUUUUCUGGAGGAUAGGGUCUGUUAUAUAUAUAUAUAUGUAUUUCAAACAUGAAGCUUGUUUGACACCUGAGUUCUGCUUGCUGCGGUGGUACGAAAAGCUCACAGAUGUUGAUGAGGUUUGAGUGAUAAACAUGGUGGCCCACAUUACGAUUUGGCCCUUGGAGGAUAGGAAAAUUCAUGUUAUCACUCCUGAAUCCUGACUGCAGAACUGAAUACUUGGAGGAUAACCUUAAGGGAGUUCUGUUCGAGGAAAAUUGAGAACAGACUCUAUCCCUAGCUUAAUCAACGGAUUCCCUUUUUGUUUAUUGUAAAGGAAAUGUUGUUCCUUAACCUUUAAGUUUCAUUGGUGUUUGUUUUGUUUCCACUUUCCAUUAUACUUUGUUUAUUAUCUGGUUUUCAAUAUGCAUGAACUCAGUUGGUAUGCUUUUGAAGUAAUGGCAUGAAUUUUAGUUUUUACUUGUCA